rnacentral:tRNA from 1 species
GGGCCCGUAGCCCAGCAUGGAUUAAGGCACCGGCCUCCGGAGCCGGAGAACAGGGGUUCAAAUCCCCUCGGGCCCGCCA